GACGAACGCUGGCGGCGUGCCUAAUACAUGCAAGUCGAGCGCAGGAAAUCGACGGAACCCUUCGGGGGGAAGUCGACGGAAUGAGCGGCGGACGGGUGAGUAACACGUAAAGAACCUACCCUCAGGUCUGGGAUAACCACGAGAAAUCGGGGCUAAUACCGGAUGGGUCAUCGGACCGCAUGGUCCGAGGGUGAAAGGCGCUCCGGCGCCGCCUGGGGAUGGCUUUGCGGUGCAUUAGCUAGUUGGUGGGGUAAUGGCCCACCAAGGCGACGAUGCAUAGCCGACCGGAGAGGGUGAUCGGCCACACUGGGACUGAGACACGGCCCAGACUCCUACGGGAGGCAGCAGUAGGGAAUCUUCCACAAUGGACGAAAGUCUGAUGGAGCAACGCCGCGUGAACGAUGAAGGCCUUCGGGUCGUAAAGUUCUGUUGUAAGGGAAGAACAAGUGCCGCAGGCAAUGGCGGCACCUUGACGGUACCUUGCGAGAAAGCCACGGCUAACUACGUGCCAGCCGCCGCAGUAAUAC
rnacentral:rRNA from 1 species